AAGGCAGCAGUGGGGAAUAUUGCACAAUGGGCGCAAGCCUGAUGCAGCCAUGCCGCGUGUAUGAAGAAGGCCUUCGGGUUGUAAAGUACUUUCAGUCGUGAGGAAGGUGUUAAGGUUAAUAACCUUAGCAAUUGACGUUAGCGACAGAAGAAGCACCGGCUAACUCCGUGCCAGCAGCCGCGGUAAUACGGAGGGUGCGAGCGUUAAUCGGAAUUACUGGGCGUAAAGGGCACGCAGGCGGUUAAUUAAGUUGGAUGUGAAUCCCCGGGCUUAACCUGGGAAUGGCAUUCAAGACUGGUUAGCUAGAGUCUUGUAGAGGGGGUAGAAUUCCAUGUGUAGCGGUGAAAUGCGUAGAGAUGUGGAGGAAUACCGGUGGCGAAGGCGGCCCCUGGGACAAAGACUGACGCUCAUGUGCGAAAGCGUGGGGAGCAAACAGGAUUAGAUACC
rnacentral:rRNA from 1 species